rnacentral:pre_miRNA from 1 species
UAGAUUUUGUAAAAUCCCAAUCGAUUUCGAGGGCAAAACUGGUUCCCCUUCAUCAGGAGCAAAAAAUUCGCUUUAGCAGAAUUUUAAUUCUGCAAAAAAUUCUACAAAAGCGAAUGUUUUGCACCUGAUGAAGGGAACCUGUUGUGCCCUCGAAAUCUAUUGGGAUUUUACAAAAUCUA